rnacentral:misc_RNA from 1 species
GAUGAAGAACGCAGCGAAAUGCGAUACGUAGUGUGAAUUGCAGAAUUCCGUGAACCAUCAAAUCUUUGAACGCAUAUUGCGCUCGAGGCUUCGGCCGAGAGCAUGUCUGCCUCAGCGUCGGUAUUACCCCUCGCUUCUCAACCCCUGGUUGAUGCCUGCCUGCCUUUGCAGUUGGCUAGAAGCGGAUUUGGCUUUCCCAAUUGCCUUUGGUAGUUGGGUCAGCUGAAGCACAGAGGCUUGAGCAAGGACCCUUAUUGGGCUUCAACUGGAUAGGUAGAACUGGUCUUAGGACCAACUACACGAAGUUGUUGCUUGUGGUCUUUGUCUGGAGGCCAGCAGGAAACCUUUAUACCUUCGACCUGAGCUCAGGCAAGAUUACCCGCUGAACUUAAGCAUAUCAAUAAGCGGAGGA